rnacentral:rRNA from 1 species
AAAUAACUCUCAACAAUGGAUGUCUUGGCUCUCGCAACGAUGAAGAACGCAGCGAAAUGCGAUACGUAGUGUGAUUUGCACUAUCCGUGAACCAUCGAAUCUUUGAACGCAUAUUGCACUCGAGGCUUCGGCCAAGAGUAUGCCUGCCUGAGCGUCAGUG